GGGGGCAAGCGGUGUCCGGAAUCAUUGGGCGUAAAGAGCUCGUAGGCGGUCUGUUGCGUCGACUGUGAAAACCCGGGGCUCAACCCCGGGCCUGCAGUCGAUACGGGCAGACUAGAGUUCGGUAGGGGAGACUGGAAUUCCUGGUGUAGCGGUGAAAUGCGCAGAUAUCAGGAGGAACACCGGUGGCGAAGGCGGGUCUCUGGGCCGAAACUGACGCUGAGGAGCGAAAGCGUGGGGAGCGAACAGG
rnacentral:rRNA from 1 species